rnacentral:misc_RNA from 1 species
GCAGAUGACGACGGAAUGCUUAGAAUCUAUAAUUUACAAUUAUUUCAAUUUGCAAUAACCUUUGUCAAAACCAGUCAUUUUUUUUACCAAUAAAGGAUUGUUUCAAUGUCUCCCUUUUGAAUGUUUCGAAUACCAGUGCAAUUUUUGAAAUUGAUAUGAAGUUAUACAGUGUAAAUAGAUCUAUGAAAUUGUUAGUUUUGGAGUUUAUUUAAAAGAUUUGAGACAUUUAUUUGCUGUUAAAAUUUGCAGCUGUGAAUAUCUACAUGUGUAUUAUCUUAACAAAAUUAUGAAAUUUCUUUACGUAUUUUUAUAGCACAAUUCAUAAUUCAUAAACUGACAUAAUUUGAUAGAGGAGUAAACUGUCUUUAAAUCAAAGACUUACUGGCUAGCAGUAUGAAUUUGCAGAUUUAUUUCCUGUUGUUGAAUAACCCACUUUGUUGCUAACUGUAUGUACCCCCGGUAAUGCACUUUUUUGAUAGAAAUAUUGCUACUUCUAGUUUACAUGUGUAUGUUAAUAAAUUUAUGUACUGAUACAAAACUGGGGUGUUAUGUGAACCAUAUUGGUUGUACGUGUAAAAUGUCUAUAAUGUAAAAUACCAAACUGUAUUGGGAUUGUUUUCUUCAAUAAUAACUGGUAAUAUUAUCCUUUUAUUUCGGAUAUUGAGAGCGAAUUAUUAUGUUGUGUUUCUUUAGUCCUAAUUAUGAGAUCUAAUUUCACAUCACACUAUGAAUGUUUGAAUUCAUUUUUUGCUGAUCGAGGCUUGUUUAUGUACAGUUGAAUUUUCUCAAAACUGUUUUGAAACUGCUUUGGAGUUCUUGUAACUCUGAUGUUUAUAAACUGAUAUUCAUCAAAAUGGACAUGAUUUUUGUUUAUAUCUGUAUAAGUUGAUUUUAUCUAUAUGAAUCAAAUUGACUGAAUCAUUAUUUUGUAUUCCUAUCAAUGAAAAUUGCUCUUAAUUCACAAAAUAGAUUUUGUUAUGAAGUUUCCGAUAAUUUUCUUACAAAUAAUAAAAUAAGAAAUGUCC